rnacentral:rRNA from 1 species
AGCGAACGCUGGCGGCAGGCCUAACACAUGCAAGUCGAACGAACCUUUCGGGGUUAGUGGCGGACGGGUGAGUAACACGUGGGAACGUGCCUUUAGGUUCGGAAUAACUCAGGGAAACUUGUGCUAAUACCGAAUGUGCCCUUCGGGGGAAAGAUUAAUCGCCCUUAGAGCGGCCCGCGUCUGAUUAGCUAGUUGGUUGAGGUAAUGGCUCACCAAGGCGACGAUCAGUAGCUGGUCUGAGAGGAUGAUCAGCCACAUUGGGACUGAGACACGGCCCAAACUCCUACGGGAGGCAGGAAUGGGGAAUCUUGCGCAAUGGGCGAAAGCCUGACGGAGCCAUGCCGCGUGAAUGAUGAAGGUCUUAGGAUUGUAAAAUUCUUUCACCGGGGACGAUAAUGACGGUACCCGGAGAAGAAGCCCCGGCUAACUUCGUG